GAAGCCUAGCUUGCUGGGUGGAUUAGUGGCGAACGGGUGAGUAACACGUGAGUAACCUGCCCUUGACUCUGGGAUAAGCCUGGGAAACUGGGUCUAAUACCGGAUACGACCAUUGCCCGCAUGGGUUGGUGGUGGAAAGCUUUUGUGGUUUUGGAUGGACUCGCGGCCUAUCAGCUUGUUGGUGAGGUAAUGGCUCACCAAGGCGACGACGGGUAGCCGGCCUGAGAGGGUGACCGGCCACACUGGGACUGAGACACGGCCCAGACUCCUACGGGAGGCAGCAGUGGGGAAUAUUGCACAAUGGGCGAAAGCCUGAUGCAGCGACGCCGCGUGAGGGAUGACGGCCUUCGGGUUGUAAACCUCUUUCAGUAGGGAAGAAGCGAAAGUGACGGUACCUGCAGAAGAAGCGCCGGCUAACUACGUGCCAGCAGCCGCGGUAAUACGUAGGGCGCAAGCGUUAUCCGGAAUUAUUGGGCGUAAAGAGCUCGUAGGCGGUUUGUCGCGUCUGCUGUGAAAGGCCAGGGCUCAACCCUGGUUCUGCAGUGGGUACGGGCAGACUUGAGUGAUGUAGGGGAGACUGGAAUUCCUGGUGUAGCGGUGAAAUGCGCAGAUAUCAGGAGGAACACCGAUGGCGAAGGCAGGUCUCUGGGCAUUAACUGACGCUGAGGAGCGAAAGCAUGGGGAGCGAACAGGAUUAGAUACCCUGGUAGUCCAUGCCGUAAACGUUGGGCACUAGGUGUGGGGGACAUUCCACGUUUUCCGCGCCGUAGCUAACGCAUUAAGUGCCCCGCCUGGGGAGUACGGCCGCAA
rnacentral:rRNA from 1 species